GGUCUUACUAAGGCUUUAUAGAAUGGUAUUAGUACCUCACUUGAUGUUGAUUGUAUCCCUCUGUUAAUGAAACUUAGGAUUGUGUUGGCUUUUUUGGCUGCCACCACACACUGCUGGCUUAUAUAUAACUGGUUGUCCACUUAGACUCCAAUAACGCUUUCACAGUUACUGUUAUUAA